GGUUAAGCGACUAAGCGUACACGGUGGAUGCCCUGGCAGUCAGAGGCGAUGAAGGACGUGCUAAUCUGCGAAAAGCGUCGGUAAGGUGAUAUGAACCGUUAUAACCGGCGAUGUCCGAAUGGGGAAACCCAGUGCAAUUCGUUGCACUAUCGUUAACUGAAUACAUAGGUUAACGAGGCGAACCGGGGGAACUGAAACAUCUAAGUACCCCGAGGAAAAGAAAUCAACCGAGAUUCCCCCAGUAGCGGCGAGCGAACGGGGAGCAGCCCAGAGUCUGAAUCAGCUUGUGUGUUAGUGGAACGGUCUGGAAAGUCCGACGGUACAGGGUGAUAGUCCCGUACACCAAAAUGCACAGGUUGUGAACUCGAAGAGUAGGGCGGGACACGUGGUAUCCUGUCUGAAUAUGGGGGGACCAUCCUCCAAGGCUAAAUACUCCUGACUGACCGAUAGUGAACCAGUACCGUGAGGGAAAGGCGAAAAGAACCCCGGCGAGGGGAGUGAAAAAGAACCUGAAACCGUGUACGUACAAGCAGUGGGAGCACCUUCGGGUGUGACUGCGUACCUUUUGUAUAAUGGGUCAGCGACUUAUAUUCUGUAGCAAGGUUAACCGUAUAGGGGAGCCGCAGGGAAACCGAGUCUUAACUGGGCGUUAAGUUGCAGGGUAUAGACCCGAAACCCGGUGAUCUAGCCAUGGGCAGGUUGAAGGUUGGGUAACACUAACUGGAGGACCGAACCGACUAAUGUUGAAAAAUUAGCGGAUGACUUGUGGCUGGGGGUGAAAGGCCAAUCAAACCGGGAGAUAGCUGGUUCUCCCCGAAAGCUAUUUAGGUAGCGCCUCGUGAACUCAUCUUCGGGGGUAGAGCACUGUUUCGGCUAGGGGGUCAUCCCGACUUACCAACCCGAUGCAAACUACGAAUACCGAAGAAUGUUAUCACGGGAGACACACGGCGGGUGCUAACGUCCGUCGUGAAGAGGGAAACAACCCAGACCGCCAGCUAAGGUCCCAAAGUCAUGGUUAAGUGGGAAACGAUGUGGGAAGGCACAGACAGCCAGGAUGUUGGCUUAGAAGCAGCCAUCAUUUAAAGAAAGCGUAAUAGCUCACUGGUCGAGUCGGCCUGCGCGGAAGAUGUAACGGGGCUAAACCAUGCACCGAAGCUGCGGCAGCGACACUAUGUGUUGUUGGGUAGGGGAGCGUUCUGUAAGCCUGCGAAGGUGACCUGUGAGGGUUGCUGGAGGUAUCAGAAGUGCGAAUGCUGACAUAAGUAACGAUAAAGCGGGUGAAAAGCCCGCUCGCCGGAAGACCAAGGGUUCCUGUCCAACGUUAAUCGGGGCAGGGUGAGUCGACCCCUAAGGCGAGGCCGAAAGGCGUAGUCGAUGGGAAACAGGUUAAUAUUCCUGUACUUGGUGUUACUGCGAAGGGGGGACGGAGAAGGCUAUGUUAGCCGGGCGACGGUUGUCCCGGUUUAAGCAUGUAGGCUGGUUGUCCAGGCAAAUCCGGAUAAUCAAGGCUGAGGUGUGAUGACGAGGCACUACGGUGCUGAAGUAACAAAUGCCCUGCUUCCAGGAAAAGCCUCUAAGCAUCAGGUAACAUCAAAUCGUACCCCAAACCGACACAGGUGGUCAGGUAGAGAAUACCAAGGCGCUUGAGAGAACUCGGGUGAAGGAACUAGGCAAAAUGGUGCCGUAACUUCGGGAGAAGGCACGCUGGUGUGUAGGUGAAGCCCCUGCGGGUGGAGCUGAGACCAGUCGAAGAUACCAGCUGGCUGCAACUGUUUAUUAAAAACACAGCACUGUGCAAACACGAAAGUGGACGUAUACGGUGUGACGCCUGCCCGGUGCCGGAAGGUUAAUUGAUGGGGUUAUCCGUAAGGAGAAGCUCUUGAUCGAAGCCCCGGUAAACGGCGGCCGUAACUAUAACGGUCCUAAGGUAGCGAAAUUCCUUGUCGGGUAAGUUCCGACCUGCACGAAUGGCGUAAUGAUGGCCAGGCUGUCUCCACCCGAGACUCAGUGAAAUUGAACUCGCUGUGAAGAUGCAGUGUACCCGCGGCAAGACGGAAAGACCCCGUGAACCUUUACUAUAGCUUGACACUGAACAUUGAGCCUUGAUGUGUAGGAUAGGUGGGAGGCUUUGAAGCGUGGACGCCAGUCUGCGUGGAGCCAACCUUGAAAUACCACCCUUUAAUGUUUGAUGUUCUAACGUUGGCCCCUUACCGGGGUUGCGGACAGUGUCUGGUGGGUAGUUUGACUGGGGCGGUCUCCUCCCAAAGCGUAACGGAGGAGCACGAAGGUUAGCUAAUCCUGGUCGGACAUCAGGAGGUUAGUGCAAUGGCAUAAGCUAGCUUGACUGCGAGCGUGACGGCGCGAGCAGGUGCGAAAGCAGGUCAUAGUGAUCCGGUGGUUCUGAAUGGAAGGGCCAUCGCUCAACGGAUAAAAGGUACUCCGGGGAUAACAGGCUGAUACCGCCCAAGAGUUCAUAUCGACGGCGGUGUUUGGCACCUCGAUGUCGGCUCAUCACAUCCUGGGGCUGAAGUAGGUCCCAAGGGUAUGGCUGUUCGCCAUUUAAAGUGGUACGCGAGCUGGGUUUAGAACGUCGUGAGACAGUUCGGUCCCUAUCUGCCGUGGGCGCUGGAGAAUUGAGGGGGGCUGCUCCUAGUACGAGAGGACCGGAGUGGACGCAUCACUGGUGUUCGGGUUGUCAUGCCAAUGGCACUGCCCGGUAGCUAAAUGCGGAAGAGAUAAGUGCUGAAAGCAUCUAAGCACGAAACUUGCCCCGAGAUGAGUUCUCCCUGAGACUUUAAGUCUCCUGAAGGAACGUUGAAGACGACGACGUUGAUAGGCCGGGUGUGUAAGCGCAGCGAUGCGUUGAGCUAACCGGUACUAAUGAACCGUGAGGCUUAACCUU
rnacentral:rRNA from 1 species